rnacentral:rRNA from 1 species
UAUGGAGAGUUUGACCCUGGCUCAGGAUGAACGCUAGCAGAACGCUUAACACAUGCAAGUCGAACGAAUGUAUUGUCUUCGGAUAAUACGUUAGUGGCAAACGGGCGAGUAACGCGUAUCUAACCUGCCCUUGUGUGAGGCAAAACCAUGGAGACAUGGCUAAUUCCUCAUACGCUCUAAGAAAUGAAAAUACUUAGAGGAAAGAUUUAUCGCACAAGGAGGGGGAUGCGUCCUAUCAGGUAGUUGGUGAGGUAAUGGCUCACCAAGCCUAUGACGGGUAGCCGGUCUGAGAGGAUGUCCGGCCGCAAUGGAACUGAGACACGGUCCAUACUCCUACGGGAGGCAGCAGUGGGGAAUAUUGGACAAUGGGCGAAAGCCUGAUCCAGCGAUUCUGCGUGAAGGAUGAAGCCUCGUGGGGUGUAAACUUCUUUUCUGGGAGAAGACGAAUGACGGUAUCUCAGGAAUAAGAGACGGCUAACUACGUGCCAGCAGCCGCGGUAAUACGUAGGUCUCGAGCGUUAUCCGGAAUUACUGGGCGUAAAGCGUCUGUAGCCGGAUGUAUAAGUCUGUCUUUAAAUACUCUGAUUCAAUCGGAGAAAAGGGAUAGAUACUGUACAUCUAGAGGAUUUUAGAGGUUAGUGGAAUUUCCGGUGGAGCGGUGAAAUGCGUUGAUAUCGGAAGGAAUGCCGAAAGCGAAAGCAGCUAACUAUAAAAUAUCUGACGGUCAGAGACGACAGCUUGGGGAGCGAACGGGAUUAGAUACCCCGGUAGUCCAAGCCGUAAAUGAUGCUUGCUAGGUGUUUGGAUCGAUUUAUCGGUCUGAGUGCCGUACCUAACGGGUUAAGCAAGCCGCCUGGGAAGUAUACUCGCAAGAGUGAAACUCAAAGGGAUAGGCGGGGGAACACACAAGCAGUGGAUUAUCUAGAUUAAUUGGAUAAUAAGCCAAGAAUCUUACCUAGGCUUGACAUACAUUGUGUCUUAUAAGAAAUUAUAAUAUCCGUAGCAAUACGGAGCUAUGUACAGGUGGUGCAUGGUCGUCGUCAGCUCGUGCCGCAAGGUGUCUAGUUAAGUCUAGUAACGAGCGCAACCCUCGUCGUAUGUUAGAAUGUCAUACGAGACUGCUUCGGUAACGAAGAGGAAGGAGAGGAUGAUGUCAGAUCCUCAUGCCCCUUAUGUCUAGGGCGUCAUAGAUAAUACAAUGGGUAGGACAGCGUGAAGCAAUAUCGUGAGAUGGAGCAAAACAUUAAACCUAUCCUCAGUUCGGAUUGUAGUCUGGAACUCGACUACAUGAAGUUGGAAUUGCUAGUAAUGGCGAGUCAGCCAUAUCGCCGUGAAUAUGUCCCUGUUCCUUGCACUCACCGCCCGUCAAAUCACGGAAGUUGAGGUCCUCUGAAAGCUCACAAGGUGGGACCAAGAGGGAAUCAGUAACUGGGGUUAAGUCGUAACAAGGCAUCCCUACCGGAAGGUGGGGAUAAAUCACCU